rnacentral:rRNA from 1 species
UAAACUAGGAUUAGAUACCCUAUUAUUUUAAAUGUAAUAUUUAAUUUACUAAAUUAGUAUUAGUUAUUUUCUUGAAAAAUAAAAAAUUUGGCGGUAUUUUAAUCUUUUCAGAGGAACCUGUUCUAUAAUUGAUAGUCCACGAUUAAAUUUACUUUACUUUUUAGUUUGCAUAUCGUCGUAAAUUGAAUAUUUUAAUAGAAUUUUUAAUAUUCAAAAUUUAAGAUUAUAAUAAAAAUCAGAUCAAGGUGUAGUAUAUGGUAAAGAAGAAAUGGGUUACAUUAAAUUUAUUUAGGAAUAAUUUUUUUUAAUAAAGUUUGAAUUUGGAUUUGAGAGUAAAUUUUAAGGAUAUACUUAAAUUGAUUAAAGUUCUAAAAUAUGUACACAUCGCCCGUCGCUCUUAA